rnacentral:rRNA from 1 species
GAUGAACGCUGGCGGCGUGCCUAAUACAUGCAAGUCGAGCGAACGGACGAGAAGCUUGCUUCUCUGAUGUUAGCGGCGGACGGGUGAGUAACACGUGGAUAACCUACCUAUAAGACUGGGAUAACUUCGGGAAACCGGAGCUAAUACCGGAUAAUAUUUUGAACCGCAUGGUUCAAAAGUAAAAGACGGUCUUGCUGUCACUUAUAGAUGGAUCCGCGCUGCAUUAGCUAGUUGGUAAGGUAACGGCUUACCAAGGCAACGAUGCAUAGCCGACCUGAGAGGGUGAUUGGCCACACUGGAACUGAGACACGGUCCAGACUCCUACGGGAGGCAGCAGUAGGGAAUCUUCCGCAAUGGGCGAAAGCCUGACGGAGCAACGCCGCGUGAGUGAUGAAGGUCUUCGGAUCGUAAAACUCUGUUAUUAGGGAAGAACAUAUGUGUAAGUAACUGUGCACAUCUUGACGGUACCUAAUCAGAAAGCCACGGCUAACUACGUG